rnacentral:pre_miRNA from 1 species
CACCGCCGCCGACGCCCACUCGAAAGGGAGGCCGUGGGUGCUGGAUGCGGCAGCCACGAUUUCCUUUCCGGCGGAUCCGGUCACUCAGA